GCCCGAAUAGCUCAGUCAGUAGAGCAUCAGACUUUUAAUCUGAGGGUCCAGGGUUGAAGUCCCUGUUCGGGCG
rfam:Salmo salar isolate Sally breed double haploid chromosome ssa26, whole genome shotgun sequence.